rnacentral:rRNA from 1 species
GUCUAAUACCGGAUAUGACUCCUCAUCGCAUGGUGGGGGGUGGAAAGCUUUAUUGUGGUUUUGGAUGGACUCGCGGCCUAUCAGCUUGUUGGUGAGGUAAUGGCUUACCAAGGCGACGACGGGUAGCCGGCCUGAGAGGGUGACCGGCCACACUGGGACUGAGACACGGCCCAGACUCCUACGGGAGGCAGCAGUGGGGAAUAUUGCACAAUGGGCGCAAGCCUGAUGCAGCGACGCCGCGUGAGGGAUGACGGCCUUCGGGUUGUAAACCUCUUUCAGUAGGGAAGAAGCGAAAGUGACGGUACCUGCAGAAGAAGCGCCGGCUAACUACGUGCCAGCAGCCGCGGUAAUACGUAGGGCGCAAGCGUUAUCCGGAAUUAUUGGGCGUAAAGAGCUCGUAGGCGGUUUGUCGCGUCUGCCGUGAAAGUCCGGGGCUCAACUCCGGAUCUGCGGUGGGUACGGGCAGACUAGAGUGAUGUAGGGGAGACUGGAAUUCCUGGUGUAGCGGUGAAAUGCGCAGAUAUCAGGAGGAACACCGAUGGCGAAGGCAGGUCUCUGGGCAUUAACUGACGCUGAGGAGCGAAAGCAUGGGGAGCGAACAGGAUUAGAUACCCUGGUAGUCCAUGCCGUAAACGUUGGGCACUAGGUGUGGGGGACAUUCCACGUUUUCCGCGCCGUAGCUAACGCAUUAAGUGCCCCGCCUGGGGAGUACGGCCGCAAGCUAAAACUCAAAGGAAUUGACGGGGGCCCGCACAAGCGGCGGAGCAUGCGGAUUAAUUCGAUGCAACGCGAAGAACCUUACCAAGGCUUGACAUGAACCGGAAGACCUGGAAACAGGGUGCCCCGCUUGCGGUCGGUUUACAGGUGGUGCAUGGUUGUCGUCAGCUCGUGUCGUGAGAUGUUGGGUUAAGUCCCGCAACGAGCGCAACCCUCGUUCUAUGUUGCCAGCACGUGAUGGUGGGGACUCAUAGGAGACUGCCGGGGUCCACUCGGAGGAAGGUGGGGACGACGUCAAAUCAUCAUGCCCCUUAUGUCUUGGGCUUCACGCAUGCUACAAUGGCCGGUACAAAGGGUUGCGAUACUGUGAGGUGGAGCUAAUCCCAAAAAGCCGGUCUCAGUUCGGAUUGGGGUCUGCAACUCGACCCCAUGAAGUCGGAGUCGCUAGUAAUCGCAGAUCAGCA